ACUCCUACGGGAGGCAGCAGUGGGGAAUUUUGGACAAUGGGCGAAAGCCUGAUCCAGCAAUGCCGCGUGCAGGAUGAAGGCCCUCGGGUUGUAAACUGUCUUUUGUACGGAACGAAAAGCCGUGGGGCUAAUACUCCCGGGUCAUGACGGUACCGUAAGAAUAAGCACCGGCUAACUACGUGCCAGCAGCCGCGGUAAUACGUAGGGUGCAAGCGUUAAUCGGAAUUACUGGGCGUAAAGCGUGCGCAGGUCGGUUUUGUAAGACAGUGGUGAAAUCCCCGGGCUCAACCUGGGAACUGCCAUUGUGACUGCAAGGCUAGAGUGCGGCAGAGGGGAUGGAAUUCCGCGUGUAGCAGUGAAAUGCGUAGAUAUGCGGAGGAACACCGAUGGCGAAGGCAAUCCCCUGGGCCUGCACUGACGCUCAUGCACGAAAAGCGUGGGAGCAAACAGGAUUAGAUACCCCUGGUAGCGACUGA
rnacentral:rRNA from 1 species